UGCUAGUGACACGGCCCACGGACAAGCAUGAUCCAAGAUCGUCCGUAAGGGACCGUGUCACGCACAACGGGCUGCCCGGAAGCAGCCCACGAACGACCCAUGAGCAGAACGAGCGGAAGGCCCAUGCACGGCCCUUGGGCGACCCCUGAGCGAUGCUCGAGUAGCCCGUGACGGUUCAGCUGGUCGCGUGUCAGACCGACCUGCAACCCUGAUCUUGCUUCUGACGCACGCCCAUGAUCUGCCCAAGGCCUGACGCGCGCGACCCAUGGACUUCCCAAGGGCCUGCCGGGUGCAGACCAUCGAGUAGCCUUCGAGUAGUCUGUUGUAUAGCUUGUAAUGAUUAUACGGAUUCAAAAUGGACCGUUGGAUCGGAGGGACGAUCCACGGC
rnacentral:lncRNA from 1 species